rnacentral:tRNA from 1 species
UCGCCGGGAAGUAUUGUUUGUAUGUGUGCCUUCCAAGCACGGGGCCUGAACUUAUCUCAGUCCGGUGAG